GAUUAUGGCUCAGGAUGAACGCUGGCGGCGUGCUUAACACAUGCAAGUCGAACGCUGAAGCUCCCAGCUUGCUGGGGGUGGAUGAGUGGCGAACGGGUGAGUAUCACGUGAGUAACCUGCCCUUGACUCUGGGAUAAGCCCGGGAAACUGGGUCUAAUACUGGAUAGGACUGGCCAUCGCAUGGUGGUUGGUUGAAAGCUUUUGCGGUUUUGGAUGGACUCGCGGCCUAUCAGCUUGUUGGUGGGGUAAUGGCCUACCAAGGCUUUGACGGGUAGCCGGCCUGAGAGGGUGACCGGCCACACUGGGACUGAGACACGGCCCAGACUCCUACGGGAGGCAGCAGUGGGGGAUAUUGCACAAUGGGCGCAAGCCUGAAUGCAGCGACGCCGCGUGAGGGAUGACGGCCUUCGGGUUGUAAACCUCUUUCAGUUGGGAAGAAGCCUUUCGGGGUGACGGUACCUUCAGAAGAAGCACCGGCUAACUACGUGCCAGCCGCAGC
rnacentral:rRNA from 1 species